GUUUUAGCCUAUCAAAGUUCUUUUGGAUGUUGAUUGUCAUCUAGGGUCUUAGCUAUACUUCCCAGUUUUAUGUCCUCUUCAACUUUGAUGAGCAUGAUAAUUUAUGCCUUUAUUUAGGUUUUUAAGAAAAAGAUUAUAUAUAGCAUAGCACCAAGAAGAGAACCCCAAAAUAUGCCAAAUUGACAUGGAAUCACCAAGAAUCAUUCUUUGAAUCCCACCAACCAAUCAUUUCUAAAUUCAUCUAGUUGUAUUACUGUUUUAUCUACAUUAUUCUAGCUCCCCAAGAAGAAAAUGAUAGACUUAAUCAGAAGCUUUGCUAAAAUCCAGGUAAAUUAUAACUACAACAUUUUCCUAAUCAACUAAUUAAUAAUCCUGACAAACAAGGAAAUGGGGUUAGUCUGGCAUGACCUGUUCUGAAUGAAGCCAUGUUGGCUUUCUGAGAUCAAAGGUUCUCUUUCUACCUAUUUGCCAACUAUCCUUUUAAUGAUUUGUCAUAGAAUUUUUUCCAAGAGUUGAAAUCAAGUUUGUUCUAUUUUGUAGGUCCUGUUCAUGUUCUUUUUUUAAAAACUGGGACAACAUCCUAUUCUCAUUUGUCAUGGUUAGUGAUGGAACCAGGACUCGAACCCAGGUCUCCUGACUCCCAGCUCAAGGUUCUUUCUUUUGUUUUGCCUAGCUUUCUAGGAAAAGCAGGACUAGAGAGAUCCAAAGAGGAAAAAGAAAGUGAAAUGCCCGCCACUGGCUUCUGGGACAGGAGGAGCAGCUAACCUCAGCACACCUCUCUGCAAUUUAUUUUCCAAGUUUAAAUAUUUAUUUACGCACCCCAUUUAAUCAGGAGAUAGUUAGUAAUUAGCGGCAGAUUUGUGUCUCCUGCUUUCUUUAUUAUUUAUUUUAGGCUCUCCCACAGCAACCCGGGGACAGCUUCCUUGUUCAGAGUCUGCACCCGCUCUGGAUUUCAAUCAGCUAGGUCCACGGAAGAGCAGUCCCUGGGGACCCCCAGGCAGAGACACCCCCCUUGGCUCUCUACUUCUGGCUGCACAGGACUCCCAGAGGCCCCCCAAAUUUGUGUGUGCCAGAAAGAAGGAAGGACAGCUAUCUACCUGGGACCCAGAGGUCCCACGGAGUCUCUGCUCAUGUAAAGGAUCGUCUCUUUCCUGUCUCCUCUCACAUCUGUAAGAACUCCACAGCGUCUGUGGGCUGAUGGAGAAUCUCAGAGCAGUUUUGGCUUCUCUUCUUUUCCAGAUUUAGCACCAGGCCUGGGCAUAUAAUAAGUGCCUAAUAAAUAAUCUCAUUUUCCUCUUCA
rnacentral:lncRNA from 1 species